rnacentral:pre_miRNA from 1 species
AAUAAGUUUAUUUAUGGGUUUGUCUUCAAUACUUGAACCAUCCGUUUUAUUUAAAAUUUUGUUAUGAUCAGUAUUUUUGUUGUUAUUAGAUGAUAAAAACAUGUAUAAUAUUUUGUGUGUGAGUUAUUUCUUUUAAUUUUUUAUAUUUUUUUAAUAAAACGGACGAUCACGCAUUAAAUACAGAAUAUAUAAAUAAACUUAUU